rnacentral:rRNA from 1 species
CUGGCGGCGUGCCUAACACAUGCAAGUCGAACGGAGAGCAUAUGAAGUAUUCGGUACGGAAUGCGUUCUUAGUGGCGAACGGGUGAGUAACACGUGGGCAACCUGCCCCAGACUGGGGGAUAACAUUGUGAAAACAGUGCUAAUACCGCAUGACAGGGUUCCGGGCAUCCGGGACUCUUGAAAGGAGAAAUCCGGUCAGGGAUGGGCCCCGCGUCCAAUUAGCUAGUUGGUGGGGUAACGGCCCACCAAGGCGACGAUUGGUAGCCGAACUGAGAGGUUGAUCGGCCACAUUGGGACUGAGACACGGCCCAGACUCCUACGGGAGGCAGCAGUGGGGAAUAUUGGGCAAUGGGCGAAAGCCUGAACCCCAGCGACGCCGCGUGAAGGAUGAAGGUCUUCGGAUUGUAAACUUCUUUGAUCAGGGAAGAAAGAAAUGACGGUACCUGAAAAACAAGCCACGGCUAACUACGUGCCAGCAGCCGC